CUGGGCGCGCGGAGUUUUGCUGCUCUACUGAGUGUGGGGCGGAAGCUUGUUGCUGAGGGCGGACGGCGUGUACUUUACUUUUCUGUUAUCCCCAGCGCCCAAGGGGCCGGUGACCUUCGAUGAUGUGGACGUGGGCUUCGGAAACGAAGAGUGGAAUCGCCUGGACUGCACCCAGAAGGCUCUUUACACGGACUGAUGCUGAAGAAUUAAGGGAAACACCAGCGCGCUGAGAAUCUCUCUACACCCAGCGUGGACCUCUCAAAAUUCCAAGAUCAGAGUUGCAUGUGCCACCGACUGAGCCAGCCAGACGCCCUCAACCCUGGAAUCCCUUUCUUACCACAGAAAGACAUCCCUGACUAAAUUGUGUUCCCUAUUUCAACUCAUCCUAUUCCUGUGUCAUCCGCCUGCGAGUGUAGCUCCACAAUGGCAGAAGUACCUCAAACGAGUGGAUGGAAGCACACAUUUCUACUUCUUCACACGCUUCUGGGGGUGUUCACACUCAGGCAUCUCCCUGUGAGAAGGUGGGUCAGACACACAACUGUUUCUGAGGUUUGACACUGGAAAUGGAAUUACUGGAGAAACUCAUUUUCUAUGUCCUGUGCCUCUAAUGUAUUUUGUAAUCAGAAUGAGAUAUUAAAAAACUGAAAAAAUAUGUGUGUGGCUAUUUACUAACCAUUAGUUACUAGAAUCUUUUUUAAGGAAUGUUUUCAGGAUUAGGGCUCUGCUCAGCUGAUCUUUCUAUACAUCUUUUUCUCUUGAAAUUUAAUUUUGACACAUCAGCUCCCCAUUUUGUAAAGCACAGAUUAAAAACCAUUUAUAACCUAUGUUUGGCCAAAGGAAAGUUGUAGAAAAGUAGUUCCUAUAUUAGCUGUUUUUAAAAAUUAAAGCCUAGUUCUAAUUUGAUUGUUGAUAAGGGUGUACAAUCUUGGAAUAUUUGAGAAGUAUCCAUUUUGUUGCCUGCUGGUGCACUGAUCACAAACUUUUCUCUAAGUGAUGUUUAUUUGCUAGUUGUGAGCAGAGGGGAGUGUCCCACGGUCACUCGGGGACCUGUCUACAGAAGUGGAGUGGACUUUGUGACUCCGGGUUUGCUCCAUGUGAUGCUGUGUUCAGUGUGGCCCGGAAGCAAUGCUCUGGUGUCCCACUUCCCUCCUGACCCAUGGCACUAAAUACGUAAUCUAAAAAGAAAAACAAGAAUGGUAUCUGUUUUGUAGACACUUGAGGAAAAUCCCUGAAAUGGGAACAGGCUUUUUUCAAAAGCAAACUUGGCUUCGGCCUUCCAAUUUCUUUGAUUCUGAUUGUGUUGUUCUAGAAGCUGUUACAUAGCUGUUACCUACCGUUAAGGUAGGUAGUUUCCACUGUUAGAGGUGCCCCCCACCCCUGCGCCUGCUGCUUUUUUGAAGGGUGGCAUUAAAGACCUAGGACUAGACUGAAUUUUUGAACUCCAGGAGCAUUUCUUAGUCAUCUCAGCACCUCCAGUACUUGAUGUGAACUAGUGAGGCGCGUGGCGUUUUCACAUGGCCAGAAAGUCAUCAGCCCGGUGCCUGUUCCUGGGAGUAGGUGGGCUUUGCAGUCUGCCCCCCACCCCCUGACCCUUGGACCCCAGCUCAGGGAGAGGGGGUAGAGAUGAGCGGCCCCACAAACCCCCGCGGCAGAUGGCUCCAGCACCCCGGGUGAGAGAACAGUGAGGGCAGCCGCAAUGAGGCCAGCGGUUGGGCCGAGCGCACCCCUGCCCCCUGGCCAAGGAGCAGGGGUGACCGGAGGCGGGAAAAGAAGAGGCCCAGGCCCGGGGAAUGCAAGAGAGCUUACAACCCUGGGGAGACAAGCAGGAAAAGGUUUCCUUUCCUCAGAGGAAAAGGAAGGAGAGAGCCUACUUUUAAAAACACCUACGGCCCCCGCUGGUAACCAGAGGGGCCCAGGAGGCUGGCCUCUGACGGAAAAGGGUGGGCUGGGGUGCGCAGAGCCACCCCCAAACAGCAGGCAACACAGGCGUCGAGCCGCAGGAGAAGCAGGUUUAUGAGCCUUGAAACCCUCUGAGAUGUGAGAGAUAAUAUCCAUAAAAUCCAGGAUUGCUAGAAAGCCACAGACUUGCUUCUCCAAACUGCUGAAAAUAGAAAGGAGGAAGUGAAAUUAAUAGCGCUGGGAAUGAGAAGGAAACCAGGCCAUGUGUGCAUAUCUUCAAAGCUAGAAAAUAACCACAUCUUCUGAACACAUUACAUUCCAGGUGCUGAACCAAGCAAUUUUCACUUAUUAUUUCAUUUAAUCCUCAUAAAAGCCCAAGGAGAUAGGUAUUACAAUCUUGUUUUAUCGGUGAAAUUCUCUUAGGUUGAGUAACUCGCCCAAAGUCACAGCUGAACCCUGUUCUAGCUGACUCGAGAGGAUGGACUUAAUCACUGCCGGUAGCUUUCGAACUUUUUCCACCAAGACCCACAGAUCUUAACCCAGCACGCAUACGUAUAAUAUAUGACUGAAAGAAAAAUUUCAUAAAACAGCAUGUACCCUUACCACCUACAAUGCUCUCUGAUAUUUUCUAUUCAUUCUAUUUUAUUUAAAAGGAAAUGCUAGUCACGACUUGCUAAAUGCAUUUCCUAAUUCAUUAAUGGGAGAGGACCCCAAUCCCCCCACACAGUUGGAGGAACACUGUUACCGCCUCCUGGCAGUGGGAGGGGGUACAUUGGACCCAGAAGAUGGCUUUACCGGCCCCCCUGAGUUGCUGGGCUGAAGGGUAAACAGUGCAGACUGUAAAAUCCUCUCGAAUCUUCUGGGCCUGAUGAUCAGCGCAGUGCGAGAAUGCGCCUCAUGGACCUUUCAGGAAAUGCCCCUGGGGGACACUCCGUGAAUUAUGAACAAAUAAUUAGUAAGCGAUUACAAAGGGUGCAUUCGUGAAGAAUAAUUCUUGCCAGAUUGACCUCUGUCUGUCUGUCUGAUGCAUUUCACUAGUACUGCAGACACCAUGCCUGUGAAUUUCAGCAAAGCAUUUGACUGAUCUCCUAAUAGCCCCAAGGAUAACUUGGGAGAUUGAGGAUGGUGUGUGGUUAAGUAAACUUAUUCCUGGUUGACUGCCUAUCCCGAACAGGGCUCAAAAGAGACGAUCUGUGAGGGAGUUCUUUGUAAAAACAAAAGAACCAGGGGAAGUUGUAAUUUGUAUAUGAAAUUGCCUCUGCCUCCUCCACUAGGGUGUGAGCCCUGUGAGGGUGGAGGACUUGUCUCCUCCGCCAUCUUGCAUCCCCAGCACUCAGCCCAGGCUCAGACAUUUAGAUGCUCCUCAAGAGUCAAGAACUCUCAGGGGAUGUUAUCAUUAAUUAGUCAAUAUCUGCCUGAGAGAGGACUCUGGGGACACGGUCCAGGGUUCUGGCCUUAGUCCUCUUGUGCUCCACAUUCUCUCCAGUUACUUGGACAGAGAAACAGAUGACAUAUUUACCAAAGUUUCAGGUGGCAAAAAACUGGGACAGCCAAAGCACUGGAUGAAUCGGGGUCCAAAAAUAACUUAGCAGCCGGGAACGGUGGGCCGAAUCAAGAUGAAAAAUAAUAGAGAUCUGUGUUCUGCCUGUAGGUCUAAGACUUAACUUCCCUAGCGCAGGAUGAGGGGGUAUACGGUUUAACAGCAACACACGUCAGGGACUUGUGGUUUACAUUGGAAACUAACAAAUGAAGCAGCGAUGUGGCAAGGUCACCAGCCAACACUGCAGACUUAGCCUGUGAAAAUACAAGCUUAGUGAACAAAUAGCAGAAGGUCAGAGCCCCUCUACUUCGUGCAGGUCAAAUGACACUGGAAGGGCUGGCUUUGAACAGCAGUUAUUAAGGACGAUAUGGACACAUUGCAAACCUUCUAGAGGAGAAUAUGUUGAAUUUGCCCACAUCAAAAUCAAGGAUUUCUGUUCAGUAAAACACCAGAAAGGCACUGAAUGGCUGGAUAACAGACUAGGAAAAGAUGUAUACAAUUAACACAGAAUUAACAUCCAGGGUAUUUAAGGAACACCCUCACAUCAACAAGAGAAAAGCAGGAAACUAGGAGAAAAGAGGGCACAGGGGAUGAGCAGGCGUUUUGCAGAAGAGGAAAUUGGAAUUGCCACCGGUGUAAGAAGAGAGGCUGGGAUCUGCCACUAAUCAAAGGAACUCAAAUUAAAACAACAGGACUCUCCUGUAAUAGGAUAACUCUCCCCAGCAACCCUCCUGCUGAAACAGCUAAAUAAGCUGGAUAAAAUGUUGAAAAUAACCUCUGUGAAAAGCUGACAAGAUGGGAUGAGGUAGGACAGCAUCCUAAGGCACGGGAUCAAGGAGUGAGGAGCCCAGAGGCUGGUCCCUUCCUGAGGAUUGCACUGAAGCGGAGGGUUGAACUUUCCUAUUGAUGGCCUCUUGAGAUGAAUAUGUCCCCGGGCCUGUUCCGGGUGGAAAGUCUAACAGGAGACCCCAUUCCCCGCAAUGUGCCCAGUUAAGGGUAAACUAGAGGUGGACCAAUCUGCCAGAAUCACAGCCUGGUUCUGUUUGCCUGGGCUACGGCAGGGCAUCCCAAGCCUCAACUUUGAAUAACUCAGCACUGGCAAUGCCCCCAGGCUCUUGAAAGCAGCAAACACAAAUUCUCUGUGGAGAAAGCUACCUUCAUCCCAAAUUAUUCCUACAAAUAAUCUUUGAAAUAUAACAACCAGCAUAUAAUCAAAGAUAACUUGGGAAACAAGGAAAUCAGGCUCCAGUCCGGUGCCCUGGAAGCCCAAUUUCUGUGGCUGCUAGACUCCAAAUCUGACACCUGGGAGCUGGGGUGCCACUGACUAAGCGUGUGGCCAUCAGCGCCCAUGUGCCCUGGCGGCCAGGGAUUGUGUGAGUGGGUGACCGUGUGUGUGCCACCAGCAUGGUUUUUUUAGAGCAGAAGUUUGUUUGUUUUAAGUGAGUUUAUUUAUUUUUGGAGAGAGGGGAGGGGAGGAGCAGAGAGAGAGAGGGAGAGAGAGAGAAUCCCCAGCAGGCUCCACCGCACUGUCAGUGAGGAGCCUGGGGCAGGGCUCAAACUCACAAAUGGUGAGGCAAAGUGGGAUGCUUAAACGACUGAGCCACCCAGGCACCCCUAAGGGGCUCUAAAUAGGAAGGCAAAGUGAUUUUUCAUGUUGAGGUGAUUACAACUUUAACUAUUUUAUUUGUAUUGCUGUCAUAGUGUUAAAAAAAUCAUUUAAUUUGUUAAAGUCUAAUGCAUAGAAGAAGUAAUCCAGAUUAUUAGGAAAAUAAAAUCUACAAUACUUUUAUAAUGUCAGUAUAUUUUUU